AGUGAACGCUGGCGGUAGGCCUAACACAUGCAAGUCGAACGGCAGCACAGUAAGAGCUUGCUCUUACGGGUGGCGAGUGGCGGACGGGUGAGGAAUACAUCGGAAUCUACUUUUUCGUGGGGGAUAACGUAGGGAAACUUACGCUAAUACCGCAUACGACCUACGGGUGAAAGCAGGGGAUCUUCGGACCUUGCGCGAUUGAAUGAGCCGAUGUCGGAUUAGCUAGUUGGCGGGGUAAAGGCCCACCAAGGCGACGAUCCGUAGCUGGUCUGAGAGGAUGAUCAGCCACACUGGAACUGAGACACGGUCCAGACUCCUACGGGAGGCAGCAGUGGGGAAUAUUGGACAAUGGGCGCAAGCCUGAUCCAGCCAGAGCGCGUGGGUGGAGAAGGCCUUCGGGUUGUAAAGCCCUUUUGUUGGGAGAGAAAAGCAGCAGGUUAAUACCCCGCUGUUCUGACGGUACCCAAAGAAUAAGCACCGGCUAACUUCGUG
rnacentral:rRNA from 1 species